UGUUUUCUUUUUCUUUUUGUUUCCUUUUUCUUUUUCCUAUUUCUUCUUUUAUUUUUCUUUUUUCUUUUUUUCUGUUUCCUGUUUUCUUUUUCUUUUUGUUUCCUUUUUCUUUUUCCUGUUUCUUCUUUUAUUUUUAUUUUUUCCUUUGUUCUGUUUCCUGUUUUCUUUUUCUUUUUGUUUCCUUUUUCUUUUUCCUGUUUCUUCUUUUUUGUUUCCC
rnacentral:lncRNA from 1 species